rnacentral:rRNA from 1 species
UACGAAGGGGGCUAGCGUUGCUCGGAAUCACUGGGCGUAAAGCGCACGUAGGCGGCUUGUUAAGUCAGGGGUGAAAUCCUGGAGCUCAACUCCAGAACUGCCUUUGAUACUGGCGAGCUCGAGUUCGGGAGAGGUGAGUGGAACUGCGAGUGUAGAGGUGAAAUUCGUAGAUAUUCGCAAGAACACCAGUGGCGAAGGCGGCUCACUGGCCCGAUACUGACGCUGAGGUGCGAAAGCGUGGGGAGCAAACAGG